GACGAACGCUGGCGGCGUGCUUAACACAUGCAAGUCGAGCGGUAAGGCCCUUUCGGGGGUACACGAGCGGCGAACGGGUGAGUAACACGUGGGUGACCUGCCCUUAGCUCUGGGAUAAGCCUGGGAAACUGGGUCUAAUACCGGAUAUGACUCCAUGACGCAUGUUGUGGGGUGGAAAGCCUUGUGCGGCUAGGGAUGGGCCUGCGGCCUAUCAGCUUGUUGGUGGGGUGAUGGCCUACCAAGGCGACGACGGGUAGCCGGCCUGAGAGGGCGACCGGCCACACUGGGACUGAGACACGGCCCAGACUCCUACGGGAGGCAGCAGUGGGGAAUCUUGCGCAAUGGGCGAAAGCCUGACGCAGCGACGCCGCGUGGGGAUGACGGCCUGUGUAACU
rnacentral:rRNA from 1 species